rnacentral:rRNA from 1 species
UACGAAGGGGGCUAGCGUUGCUCGGAAUCACUGGGCGUAAAGGGUGCGUAGGCGGGUCUUUAAGUCAGGGGUGAAAUCCUGGAGCUCAACUCCAGAACUGCCUUUGAUACUGAAGAUCUUGAGUUCGGGAGAGGUGAGUGGAACUGCGAGUGUAGAGGUGAAAUUCGUAGAUAUUCGCAAGAACACCAGUGGCGAAGGCGGCUCACUGGCCCGGUACUGACGCUCAGGUUCGAAAGCGUGGGGAGCAAACAGG